UAUUUAUUCAUCGAUAAUGACGUCAAGAAAGAUUUCAUUUUGAAGCUUGCCAAAUUGUGAAACCGGUUUUUUAUUUGUGUUUUGACCUUUUGUGUAUUUUUUCUACCCCUUGUUAGAAUCCUAAGCAAUAUGUCAGAGUCUGCACCUUAAGCUGGAACAGCGAGAACACAGCAAUAAUAUAGCCAAAGCAACUACAAGCCAGAAUUGGAUUCCGGCCACGGUUUACACUAUCAAAAUGAUGGAUGAGACUGGUCUCCAAACUGGUUGACCUGCGUGGGGGUGUCUUUCAUUUAGCCGUUAGCCGCAUACAAAAAUUUGAAUAGAUUUUAAAUGCAAAUCAAAUUUAAACGCGCUACAAACUCGUAUAU